rnacentral:rRNA from 1 species
GGAUCGCAAGACCUUGCGCUCAUUGAGCGGCCGAUGCCUGAUUAGCUAGUUGGUGAGGUAAAGGCUUACCAAGGCGACGAUCAGUAGCUGGUCUGAGAGGACGACCAGCCACACUGGGACUGAGACACGGCCCAGACUCCUACGGGAGGCAGCAGUGGGGAAUUUUGGACAAUGGGGGAAACCCUGAUCCAGCCAUGCCGCGUGAGUGAAGAAGGCCUUCGGGUUGUAAAGCUCUUUCAGCCGGAACGAAACGGUCACGGCUAAUACCUGUGACCACUGACGGUACCGGAAGAAGAAGCACCGGCUAACUACGUGCCAGCAGCCGCGGUAAUACGUAGGGUGCAAGCGUUAAUCGGAAUUACUGGGCGUAAAGCGUGCGCAGGCGGUUUUGUAAGUCGGAUGUGAAAUCCCCGGGCUCAACCUGGGAACUGCGUUUGAA